UACAGAGGGUGCAAGCGUUGUCCGGAUUUAUUGGGUGUAAAGGGUGCGUAGGCGGGACGAUAAGUCCGAGGUGAAAGCCCGUAGCUUAACUGCGGAACUGCCUUGGAUACUGUCGACCUUGAGUCCCGGAGGGGUGGCUGGAAUUCCUGGUGUAGCGGUGAAAUGCGUAGAUAUCAGGAGGAACACCGGAGGUGUAGACGGGUCACUGGACGGGUACUGACGCUGAGGCACGAAAGCGUGGGGAGCAAACAGG
rnacentral:rRNA from 1 species